GACGAACGCUGGCGGCGUGCCUAACACAUGCAAGUCGAGCGGAGAUAAUAGCAAUAUUAUCUUAGCGGCGGACGGGUGAGUAACGCGUGGGCAACCUACCUUUCACUGGGGGAUAACACAGGGAAACUUGUGCUAAUACCGCAUAACAUCACGAGAUGACAUCUUCUUGUGAUCAAAGGAGUAAUCCGGUGAUAGAUGGGCCCGCGUCCGAUUAGCUAGUUGGUGAUGUAACGGACCACCAAGGCGACGAUCGGUAGCCGAACUGAGAGGUUGAUCGGCCACAUUGGGACUGAGACACGGCCCAGACUCCUACGGGAGGCAGCAGUGGGGAAUAUUGCGCAAUGGGGGAAACCCUGACGCAGCAACGCCGCGUGAAGGAUGAAGGUUUUCGGAUCGUAAACUUCUUUGAUGGGGGACGAAAAAAAUGACGGUACCCCAAAAACAAGCCACGGCUAACUACGUGCCAGCCGCCGCAGUAAAAC
rnacentral:rRNA from 1 species